rnacentral:tRNA from 1 species
GACCGACUGGCCAAGUGGUUAAGGCGUCUGUCUUACACACAGAAGGUCGCAGGUUCGAUCCCUGCGUCGGUCA